AGGAAACUCAACAUGAACGGUCUGGUUGGAAUGAACGCCCUUGUGUGGGUCGCCAUCGCAUUGGCUGUGCUCAUCAAUGAGGCUGCUGCUCUUGGAGGCGGUAUCGGAGGUACUGGAGGAAUCGGCUUUCGCAAGAAGUGAAAUGCUGUCCACCAACACAUGCCUGUAGCGAGAAGGAUAGAUAACCUUCAUCGCAUCUAUUAAAGGC